ACUUCAAAAGACCUCUUCCCACCCCACCCUACGAGGAAUUCUACACUGUCACACUUACACCACGUCAUCAAUAACAAACCAAUUACAUUCCUUCUUUUCAAAUAAAAAUACAAUAAAAAUACUUUUUUACAAUCAUGAUGGGAUAUAUAUUCUUAAAAAGAUUAAUUUGAUUGGUUUGUUACGCCACAUCACUGAUAUACCUGUUGCAUUCUAGAAUUUUUCCCACCCUACAUACCUCGUCGUACAGAAUGACUAAGACUGUCCACGUGGCAUUAUUCCAUUGGUUUCAUUAGUACGGAAUUUCCAUAUUUUUUGGUGCUCGGUUUUUUCUUUUUCUUUUGGAUGGUUUCAUUAAUUAUAGAAGGAGCAAAUUCUUUUUGUAAGUUUUAAGUAUGUAUCUAGUAGGAGCAAAUUCUUGGACGCCUUUCUCGACAGAGCUAUGGUUAGAUAUGACUCGAAAUUUAUUAUCGACUCAGGUUCGAGUUUACGAUUCGCCGACAAUUUUACGGUGCGAUCAAAUUGAAAAAUUAAAUUGUGAAGGGAAAAUGAAUAUAUGUGAUCGUGGUUUGUUGUAAUUUGUAGAACAUUAUAUUUCCUUUCGUUUUCGAUAGUGAAGUUCUCUCCUUCCUCGUCCGUAAUUUUUUUCCUGUAAAAAAUUUUUCACGUAAAUCUAUAUGUUAUUUCAUUUCUGCUUGUGGUUUGAUAAUUUUAUGUUUGUCAUUUCGUUUCCGUUUGUGCGUUUACGUAACAGCUAUAACGUGACAAUAAUAAUUUUACAAUAUGUGUAACACUCCAUAGUCCCAUAAGGGAUAGAAAAAAUUUUUAAUAUGAAAUAUAUGAGGUCUCAUGCCUUGCUAAUAAUAAUUAGACUUUAAUAAGUAUUUUGGUCCGAUAGUUUAGACUUAAUAAAUUAUUAUUAUUAGCGGAUCAAAUCGUUACAGAUCAAUAAAAAUAAAAUCUAAAUAUAUUAUUUAAUCGCU
rnacentral:lncRNA from 1 species